rnacentral:rRNA from 1 species
GACGAACGCUGGCGGCGUGCCUAAUACAUGCAAGUCGAACGGUCUUUUCUAUGAAAGCUUGCUUUCACUGAAAAGAUAGUGGCGGACGGGUGAGUAACACGUGGGUAACCUGCCCAUAAGAGGGGGAUAACAUCCGGAAACGGGUGCUAAUACCGCAUAGUUUUUUUGGUCACAUGACUGAGAAAGGAAAGACGGCCUUUGUGCUGUCGCUUAUGGAUGGACCCGCGGCGUAUUAGUUAGUUGGUGAGGUAAUGGCUCACCAAGACGAUGAUACGUAGCCGACCUGAGAGGGUGAUCGGCCACAUUGGGACUGAGACACGGCCCAAACUCCUACGGGAGGCAGCAGUAGGGAAUCUUCCGCAAUGGACGAAAGUCUGACGGAGCAACGCCGCGUGAGUGAAGAAGGUUUUCGGAUCGUAAAACUCUGU